UAGACCGCCUGGGGAGUACGGCCGCAAGGUUAAAACUCAAAUGAAUUGACGGGGGCCCGCACAAGCGGUGGAGCAUGUGGUUUAAUUCGAUGCAACGCGAAGAACCUUACCUGGUCUUGACAUCCACAGAACUUUCCAGAGAUGGAUUGUGCCUUCGGGAACUGUGAGACAGGUGCUGCAUGGCUGUCGUCAGCUCGUGUUGUGAAAUGUUGGGUUAAGUCCCGCAACGAGCGCAACCCUUAUCCUUUGUUGCCAGCGGUCCGGCCGGGAACUCAAAGGAGACUGCCAGUGAUAAACUGGAGGAAGGUGGGGAUGACGUCAAGUCAUCAUGGCCCUUACGACCAGGGCUACACACGUGCUACAAUGGCGCAUACAAAGAGAAGCGACCUCGCGAGAGCAAGCGGACCUCAUAAAGUGCGUCGUAGUCCGGAUUGGAGUCUGCAACUCGACUCCAUGAAGUCGGAAUCGCUAGUAAUCGUGGAUCAGAAUGCCACGGUGAAUACGUUCCCGGGCCUUGUACACACCGCCCGUCACACCAUGGGAGUGGGUUGCAAAAGAAGUAGGUAGCUUAACCUUCGGGAGGGCGCUUACCACUUUGUGAUUCAUGACUGGGGUGAAGUCGUAACAAGGUAACCGUAGGGGAACCUGCGGUUGGAUCACCUCCUUACCUUAAAGAA
rnacentral:rRNA from 1 species